GCAACCCAGUGUGACGCGCCUCGGGGUUGCCAUGUACCUUAAUUAAACCGCGCGUGCACCUAGAACUAAAAAACGAAUCACAUUCAUAUCAAUGGGGUAUGGAUCGGACCCGUUAAGGGAUAAAAUCUCAGGUAACUAAAGCGGAAAUGUAAUGAUAUGGUAACAGUGAUAAUGACACGAUGCAGAGUGUAGUUUGAUUUCAUGAAAAGACGCGCAUGUCAACAUGCCUGACGUCAUGAACCCGGUUUCUGAAUUUCAAGUUUGCCGCGAGAAGGAUGUGUGUAGUUUUCACCAGUGUGAACAAAGUUUUUGACGGAUACAUGAACACACUGAUGGCUACUCCAAACUCCAGCAUGGGAAGCGGCUCCAGAGGUGUGAUAUUUGAGUGUCUGUGGAGGCCUUUGAGAAGAGUCUGGAGACUCCUGCGCUGCUGUGGACCUGAUCAACCUGAAAUCAAACUUUCAGUGGAAGAAACCUCACCACAUUUUAGUGGCCGUAGCUCUGUCCGUCCGUGGUGAAGAUCCUCAAGCUGUUUACCUUCACCGAGCUGAGAUGAUAAUUUUGAAUGAAUUGCUGCCCAGCCAGAAAACAGAGUUCUUGGACCUAGUUUUAAACCCAAGUUUAAAUACUGAGAAGAUGGAUAUACUUCCUCUUAAAUCAUCUGCCCUGCUGUACAACUUGUCCACUUGACCGCCACACUGACAUGGAAUGGAUUUCUACUUCCAGAAUGUAAUGUGUAACAACCAAGGUACUUUGUCAUUACUGCCUACUCAGGGGAUCACACUUUGCGCAAACUUCUCAUUGGUUGUCUCCUCAAACCUCUGGACACCAUGAUCUUCUUUUUUGCCAAACUGACAAAGACAGUAGUGCGCAAACAGACCUAAGUUGGUUGGUUUAAGUCCAUGCAAGGAUGCAUUAGAUCAUUAGCUGGCCAACUUGAACAUAAUGAAGCACUAUACCAAUUAAGUGUCCUUAGAUUUUAGACUGGUACUGUUGUUUUAAGUAUUGUCUAAAAGCUGUGCAUAAAUUUUUAUAUACAUAAAUCAUGAUCCAUCCAUAGCAUCAAAUUUCUUUCUUUUUUUUUUUUUGUUUUUUUUUUUAAGUACAUUUGCAAAGUUUUUGCACCAACUUUAUUUACUCUGAUGAGAAUGCACCUCUACAGGACAAGGUGAGGUUGACAUUCAUUAUGAAUCUGGCAAGAAUUUUGUGUGAACUUUAUGCACUAAAAAUGGCAGCAAAUUAUUAGUGACUGUGGCCUUAUAUCUUUUGGUAUGUUUCCAUUAGGUUUUGUGCUAGUCAGUUCUCCACAAGGUAGUUAAUGAUUGUAUCUAGUACUUAUAAUGGUUUCUUACAAUGGAUUGUACCAAUACUGAUGGAUUUUUCAUGCUGUCCUUCUUGAACCUCUUAAGCCAGAAACACACUGCACGAUUUCAUUAGUUCUGUAAGAGCACUGCAUGUCACACUGUGUGACAUGGAUCUAAUAAACUUGGCUACGACGUGUGUAGACUGUACGAUGAUAAC